GGUGACGUGUCCGAGUGGUUAAGGAGUCAGAUUUGAAUUGCAAUCAGCAUCAUUCAAAAUACCUGAUGGUUAUCGCCGCGUAGGUUCAAAUCCUGCCGUCAUCG
rfam:Trichosporon asahii var. asahii CBS 8904 unplaced genomic scaffold scaffold00033, whole genome shotgun sequence.